UGCUGCACCGACCAUCAGCUCCCUCUCUCCUUUCUCCUUUCGCACGCAACAAGCACAGCCACCACCCACCGGCGCCACAGCUGCGGUGUCUAGCCUUUGUGGCCCUUCCAGAUCCUGUUGCCGCACCUCCCUGCCUGCUGCCGCCGCCCCUUUCCCGUCGGCAAACUCAUUCUCUCUCUCUUGGCGGAGAAUUCUCUUUAGGCGACUUCUGAAAGUGUUAAAGUGGCCUAUUAGUUUGUUUACACAAGUCUCUAAGGAUCAAUAAGCGUUGCCCAUCUACAGGUUUGAAGAUGAUGCAUCAUUGGGAUCGGGAUUAGAGAGCUUAUAGUUCUAUUUGUUUAAUUAAGUGAUUUAAUUUGUUAACUUAUAUUUGAAAGUCGUCG